CCUACGGGAGGCAGCAGUGAGGAAUAUUGGUCAAUGGACGCAAGUCUGAACCAGCCAUGCCGCGUGCAGGAAGACGGCUCUAUGAGUUGUAAACUGCUUUUGUACGAGGGUAAACGCAGAUACGCGUCUCUGUCUGAAAGUAUCUUACGAAUAAGGAUCGGCUAACUCCGUGCCAGCAGCCGCGGUAAUACGGAGGAUUCAAGCGUUAUCCGGAUUUAUUGGGUUUACAGGGUGCGUAGGCGGUCGGUUAAGUUAGAGGUGAAAUCCCGAGGCUCAACUUCGGAAUUGCCUCUGAUACUGUCAGGCUAGAGAGUAGUUGCGGUAGGCGGAAUGUAUGGUGUAGCGGUGAAAUGCUUAGAGAUCAUACAGAACACCGAUUGCGAAGGCAGCUUACCAAGCUACGUCUGACGUUGAGGCACGAAAGCGUGGGGAGCAAACAGGAUUAGAUACCCUAGUAGUC
rnacentral:rRNA from 1 species